rnacentral:rRNA from 1 species
GAUGAACGCUAGCGGCAGGCUUAAUACAUGCAAGUCGAGGGGCAGCAUGACUGUAGCAAUACAGUUGAUGGCGACCGGCAAACGGGUGCGGAACACGUACAGAACCUUCCUUCGAGCGGGGAAUAGCCCAGAGAAAUUUGGAUUAAUACCCCAUAGUAUUACGAAGUGGCAUCACUUUGUAAUUAAAGAUUUAUCACUUGAAGAUGGCUGUGCGGCUGAUUAGGUAGUUGGCGGGGUAACGGCCCACCAAGCCUACGAUCAGUAACUGGUGUGAGAGCACGACCAGUCACACGGGCACUGAGACACGGGCCCGACUCCUACGGGAGGCAGCAGUAAGGAAUAUUGGUCAAUGGACGAAAGUCUGAACCAGCCAUGCCGCGUGGAGGAUGAAGGUCCUCUGGAUUGUAAACUUCUUUUAUAUGGGACGAAAAAAGGCUUUUCUAAGUCGUCUGACGGUACCAUAUGAAUAAGCACCGGCUAACUCCGUGCCAGCCGCCGCGGUAACAC